CACAGCCGCGGUAAUACGUAGGUGGCAAGCGUUGUCCGGAAUUAUUGGGCGUAAAGGGCUCGCAGGCGGUUUCUUAAGUCUGAUGUGAAAGCCCCCGGCUCAACCGGGGAGGGUCAUUGGAAACUGGGAAACUUGAGUGCAGAAGAGGAGAGUGGAAUUCCACGUGUAGCGGUGAAAUGCGUAGAGAUGUGGAGGAACACCAGUGGCGAAGGCGACUCUCUGGUCUGUAACUGACGCUGAGGAGCGAAAGCGUGGGGAGCGAACAGGAUUAGAUACCCCUGUAGUCCCUGUCUCUUAUACA
rnacentral:rRNA from 1 species